CGGGGGGCAGCAGUGGGGAAUAUUGCACAAUGGGCGCAAGCCUGAUGCAGCGACGCCGCGUGAGGGAUGACGGCCUUCGGGUUGUAAACCUCUUUCAGUAGGGAAGAAGCGAAAGUGACGGUACCUGCAGAAGAAGCACCGGCUAACUACGUGCCAGCAGCCGCGGUAAUACGUAGGGUGCGAGCGUUAUCCGGAAUUAUUGGGCGUAAAGAGCUCGUAGGCGGUUUGUCGCGUCUGUCGUGAAAGUCCGGGGCUUAACCCCGGAUCUGCGGUGGGUACGGGCAGACUAGAGUGCAGUAGGGGAGACUGGAAUUCCUGGUGUAGCGGUGGAAUGCGCAGAUAUCAGGAGGAACACCGAUGGCGAAGGCAGGUCUCUGGGCUGUAACUGACGCUGAGGAGCGAAAGCAUGGGGAGCGAACAGGAUUAGAUACCCCGGU
rnacentral:rRNA from 1 species